UCAUGGUGUUUGACAAGGAUCGAUACCUAUAACCUCUAUUAUUUCUAGUUUAUAUUAAUGAUCUGCAUCAAAACUACCUUUUCAAAUAUUUCUUGCUGAUGAUACAAGUGUGUUCUUCCUCACAGCAAUGUCAACUAUCUCACUGAAUAAACUGCUGAACACAUCCAAGCACUGUUAAAACUGAGUACAAGGAAAGUGAACAAAUACGUAUUGACUUUAAACACUGAACAAACCCUCUGUCUACCUCCUGCUCCAUCUCUCUCUUGCUCUGUGUGUAUAUGUCGGAAAACCUUCUAUAUCCCCUCUGCCCCUCUCCAAGCGUCUGCACAGCUCUCUCCAUGGGAAUGAUGUCAUGGUUGGGAAUUCCAACAGGGGGCCCUGUCUGUGCUCAUAAAAAACCCUCGUCUCCCCAGCUCACUGCACAUGGCCUGACUGAAUUACAGCUCCCAGUCCAUCACCCUCUCCUGGCCUUGGCAAGAAUAGCGGGUCUGGGACAUCACUACUUUAUGGCAUAUUUUGUCUGAAAGGCAACAUUAAUCAGUGUAAUCAUGAAGUCAGACAACAGUGCAAAGCAGCAGAGCCGGUACACCUCCGCACUGUACGAUCCAUGGAUCUGGCAGCCUCUGCUCUCACCUGUAGAAACACUCUGGAGACACGGUCUGCAUUCCUCACUGCCACACACCGACUGAGCCAGCAUAUGUCAACAACACCCCUUAAACAACACUCCUGCAGCCACACACCGACUGAGCCAGCAUAUGUCAACAACACCCCUUAAAACCCACUACAGCAGCCAGGUAGCUACUGCUUCAACCAGACAUCAAACUCACACUGCCAGAAAAAAAAAACAGAUACCUUAAAUGAGCCCACCUACCUGAACCUCCAUAUCUGCCUCCUCUGUGUCGAGUCACGAGCAGAGAAAUGGAGAGAGAGAGGAGAGAGAGAUGGAGCUGAAAGCCCCUGCACUAUAAGGCAGGCUCUUUGAUCUACAUAGUGCUGAGGUCGGUAAACAGGCUGUUAGGCUAGCAGAGGAGAGGGAGAUCGAGGUGGCAUAUAGUGCUGUAGUGUAGGCUGCCUGGGGUUGAAAGACAGAGCACCAGACAGGAACCUGAACGUCAAUAAAACAGGAAGGCUCUCCCUGCACUUUCCCCCCUCCUUCCUUCACUUGCUCUCUCCCUCUUCUCUGUCCCCUUUAUACCACUCUCUCUCUCUCAUACACUCAGCCAUUUUUCUCUCCCCAUUCAUAUCUCUCUAUUUCAGUGCAUUUAUUCAGCUGUUGUGUUGAUCCCAGGGCUCAGUGGGGACGUGUCCAGAGUCAGUGUGUUGCAGCGCUGCAAUGUCACCACUGUCUCUCUCGCUCAUGACCAGGGGAAUCUAAGCUCUGUCAGCGACCACUGAAACAACUCAAUUAUAAUAUAUACUGAAUGAAUAUGUGCUGGCUCCCUAUACUAAACAUUGUAUUGCAAUCUUUAUUGGCUUGUAAUAAACAUUGUAUUUCGA